CGGGGGCUCACACAAGCGGUGGAGCAUGUGGAUCAAUUCGAAGCAACGCGAAGAACCUUACCUGGGCUUGACAUGCACGGAUGCUCUUCCUGAAAGGGGAGUAGGCUGCCUUCGGGUGAAACGUGCACAGGUGCUGCAUGGCUGUCGUCAGCUCGUGCUGUGAAGUGUCGGGUUAAGUCCCAUAACGAGCGAAACCCCUGUCGCUAGUUGCCAGCGGGUCAUGCCGGGUACUCUAGCGAGACUGCCGGUGUCAAACCGGAGGAAGGUGGGGAUGACGUCAAGUCAUCAUGGCCUUUAUGUCCAGGGUGUCACACGUGCUACAAUGGGGCGGUACAGAGCGA
rnacentral:rRNA from 1 species